GAACCACCUGAUCCCAUCCCGAACUCAGCAGUGAAACGAUGCAUCGCCGAUGGUAGUGUGGGGUUUCUCCAUGUGAGAGUAGGUCAUCGUCAAGA
rnacentral:rRNA from 1 species